GCUAGUGUGGCAUAGUGGUUUGAGUGUUUGACUGCAACUCUGGAGACCAGGGUUCAACCCCCAACUUGACCA